rnacentral:rRNA from 1 species
UACGGAGGGGGUUAGCGUUGUUCGGAAUUAUUGGGCGUAAAGCGAGUCUAGGCGGCUUGUUAAGUCAGAUGUGAAAAUGCGGGGCUCAACUCCGUAUGGCGUUUGAAACUGGCAAGCUAGAGUACUGGAGAGGUGGGCGGAACUACAAGUGUAGAGGUGAAAUUCGUAGAUAUUUGUAGGAAUGCCGAUAGUGAAGACAGCUCACUGGACAGAUACUGACGCUAAAGCUCGAAAGCGUGGGGAGCAAACAGG